AUGCACGCUGGCGGCGUGCCUAAUACAUGCAAGUCGAGCGAACAGAUGAGGAGCUUGCUCCUCUGACGUUAGCGGCGGACGGGUGAGUAACACGUGGAUAACCUACCUAUAAGACUGGGAUAACUUCGGGAAACCGGAGCUAAUACCGGAUAAUAUAUUGAACCGCAUGGUUCAAUAGUGAAAGACGGUUUUGCUGUCACUUAUAGAUGGAUCCGCGCCGCAUUAGCUAGUUGGUAAGGUAACGGCUUACCAAGGCGACGAUGCGUAGCCGACCUGAGAGGGUGAUCGGCCACACUGGAACUGAGACACGGUCCAGACUCCUACGGGAGGCAGCAGUAGGGAAUCUUCCGCAAUGGGCGAAAGCUUGACGGAGCAACGCCGCGUGAGUGAUGAAGGUCUUCGGAUCGUAAAACUCUGUUAUUAGGGAAGAACAAAUGUGUAAGUAACUAUGCACGUCUUGACGGUACCUAAUCAGAAAGCCACGGCUAACUACGUG
rnacentral:rRNA from 1 species